rnacentral:lncRNA from 1 species
AGCUUUUUACUACGAUAGCAUUCAUCUAUGCUGUAUUAUGUUGUGUUUGAAAGAACGUGAACACCCCACCAUGCACAACGAUAUGCACAAUCAACAUAAAGACAAUAACAAUCAGAAUCAAGGAGUAAACAAAGACUCAUAAAACCAAAAUACAUUUACAUCAACAGUUUCAAAUAAUAAAUAAGAAACAACACGAACUCCACUAAAAUAAGACUUAUUUACGGACAGA